UUCGGUGGGAAGGAUAGGGUUAGGCCUUUGGAAGAUUUUACUCGGGUGAAAGAAAGAUCUCACCGAUUGAAUCGGUGGAAAACUAAGAAAUCAAAAUUUGAUCGGUGAGAAUGAUGCAAACCGGAGCAACGACGGAUGGUUCGAACGGAGAUGGUGAUGAUAAGGUAGAUCUAGGCAAGGAAGAUAUAUUUACCGGUAGAAGGAAUGUGGAUCGAAGGUGGAAGACGCAGAUCUGUGCUCGAAUGACGGACCCUAGCAGAGACGUUGCUUCUAGAGAGAAAACCUAAUGUGAGGUUUCUGAGAUGUGGAAAAUGCGAGUAAUGAUGCUGGAAAUGAAGUGAAGCACGUGAUGCAUAGAAGGCGCUGACGAGGCUUCAGGACGAAACGCGUGUCUGAAGCAGAUUGGAGAAAAGGUGAGUCUGUGUUGAUGAUGAGAGAGAAACACAGUGAGAUAUUGGAAAAUGAAAUAAUGAAGUGUGCUUUGGAAGGAGGCUAGAGGUCUUUGGACUCUCUAGCCAAUGACUUUCAAGGGAGAAUUAUUUUCUGAUUUAGAAAACCAAAUUCUCAUUAAUCUCAAAAGUGCUUACAAAAUGUGUUAGCAUGCCUAUAUAUAAGACUAAAUGUACCACAUGCCUAACACAUUGUAUACAUGUUUAAUACAAGUAAAAAAUUACUAAACUAAUGA
rnacentral:lncRNA from 1 species